UACGUAGGGAGCAAGCGUUGUCCGGAAUCAUUGGGCGUAAAGCGCAUGUAGGCGGCUUGGUAAGUCUGCUCUGAAAGCCCGGGGCUCAACCCCGGGAGGCGGGUGGAUACCGCCGAGCUCGAGUCCGGAAGAGGCGAGUGGAAUUCCUGGUGUAGCGGUGAAAUGCGCAGAUAUCAGGAGGAACACCAAUGGCGAAGGCAGCUCGCUGGGACGGUACUGACGCUGAGACGCGAAAGCGUGGGGAGCGAACAG
rnacentral:rRNA from 1 species